UACAGAGGGUGCGAACGUUGCUCGGAAUUACUGGGCGUAAAGCGCGUGUAGGCGGUCCGUUAAGUUGGUAGUGAAAUCCCAUGGCUCAACCAUGGAAGUGCUGCCAAAACUGGCGGGCUGGAGUGCCGGAGAGGGUGGCGGAAUUCCCAGUGUAGAGGUGAAAUGCGUAGAGAUGUGGAGGAACACCGAUGGCGAAGGCAGCCUCCUGGGCCAACACUGACGCUCAUGCACGAAAGCGUGGGGAGCAAACAGG
rnacentral:rRNA from 1 species